rnacentral:rRNA from 1 species
UGGUGGGGUGACUUGUCUGCUUAAUUGCGAUAACGAACGAGACCUUAACCUGCUAAAUAGCCCGCAUUGCUCCGGCAGUGCGCUGGCUUCUUAGAGGGACUUUCGGCUCAAGCCGAAGGAAGUUUGUAGGCAAUAACA